GGUUUGUGGCUCAGAGGUAGAGCGUUUGCCAUGCAUGCAUGAGGCACUGGGUUCGAUACUCAGCACCA
rnacentral:tRNA from 1 species